rnacentral:rRNA from 1 species
GAUGAACGCUAGCGGGAGGCUUAAUACAUGCAAGUCGGAGGGUAACGAGGGGCUUCGGCCCGCUGACGACCGGCGCACGGGUGAGUAACGCGUACGCAACUUACCUCCAAGCGAGGGAUAGCCCUGGGAAACUGGGAUUAAUACCUCAUGUGAUUAAUGAUGCCGCAUUGGUGUUAUAAUUAAAGUUCAGGCGCUUGGAGAUGGGCGUGCGUCCUAUUAGCUAGUUGGUGAGGUAACGGCUCACCAAGGCGACGAUAGGUAGGGGGCGUGAGAGCGUGGCCCCCCANACGGGUACUGAGACACGGACCCGACUCCUACGGGAGGCAGCAGGUAAGGAAUAUUGGACAAUGGGCGCAAGCCUGAUCCAGCCAUCCCGCGUGCAGGAUGACAG